UCUAAGUUUGAUGGCGACCGGCGCACGGGUGAGUAACACGUAUCCAACCUGCCGAUGACUCGGGGAUAGCCUUUCGAAAGAAAGAUUAAUACCCGAUGGCAUAGUUCUUCCGCAUGGUGGAACUAUUAAAGAAUUUCGGUCAUCGAUAGGGAUGCGUUCCAUUAGGUUGUUGGCGGGGUAACGGCCCACCAAGCCUUCGAUGGAUAGGGGUUCUGAGAGGAAGGUCCCCCGCAUUGGAACUGAGACACGGUCCAAACUCCUACGGGAGGCAGCAUG
rnacentral:rRNA from 1 species